rnacentral:rRNA from 1 species
GGGUCAGUAGGUUGGUCGUGCCACCGGUACGUACUGGUCUCACUGAUUCCUCCUUCCUGAAGAACCGUAAUGCCAUUAAUUUGGUGUUGCGGGGAAACAGGACUGUUACUUUGAAAAAAUUAGAGUGUUUAAAGCAAGCUAACGCUUGAAUACAUUAGCAUGGAAUAAUGAAAUAGGACGAUCGAUCCCAUUUUGUUGGUUUCUAGGACUGACGUA